rnacentral:lncRNA from 1 species
UCCUCUGAAUUCUGUCCCAGACCUUAUAAACUACUAAUCCUCUUUAAACAGAACAAAAACAUACCUGAGAAUGAAAACUCUGGGUUACUGACAUAUCUGCUGCCUACAGAUAUUUAGGUAGCAGCUAAAACUUGGACUUAUUUUUGAAAUUCAUCUUAUGUUGAUAGUGGCCCAUCUAUUGCCUGAGAUUUCUAAUACUUCACAGAGAAAAAAGAUGAAAAAGUACCUGGUGUAUCAGCCAACAAGCUGAGGUGUUGUUUCUUAAUCUGGGGCUAUUCCAAGAUAGUAUAAGAAAUAAUAACACCUUCAUUAAUCAGGAUGUUCAGGUAAUGGGGUCCUUGUUAUUUUUUUUUUCCUAAAAUUUUGCUAACUCUGUCUUAGUAACAUUAAAAGACAGUUUUUAGAAAAAGGUAGAAAGUCAUGACUCUUGUACAUAUAUAAAAAUGAAAAUGUGUUAAAGAUUUUAUUUUAAUCAUUAAUCAACAAGGGAACCAGACAGAUGUUAUAGCCAGUUCAAAGAAAAAGUCAAAAAGCACAAAUUUAUCUGGAGUAAAGGAAUGGAAUUGCAAAUAGAGGCAAAACUUGUUUUUCCACAGUGGAGAAGGAAGUCAAUCCAAAUGCUAUAGGACAAGAUAGAGUUUGCAUAUCCAUCAGUUACCUACAAUUUAUAGAGGUGCAAAAUAGCUCAAAGAUGAUGAACAGAGGCAGAAAUCAGGCAGCUUCAAAAAUGGUGUGCUAUAGGUAACUAAUAGCUUUUUUUUUUUAAUAGUAAGCAAGUGGGGCUGGGGUUGUGGUUUUGAGGUAGAGUGCUUACCUAGCAUACGUGAGGCACUGGGUUCAAUCCUCAGCACCUCAUAAAAAUAAAAUAAGAUAUUGUGUUCACCUAUAACUAAAAAAUAAAUAUUUAAAUAAAUAAAUAUAUAGUAAGCAGCAUGGUGGGUGCUUUAUUUUCCUAGUUGAUUUUGUGUCUUAUUAUUUCUCAGUGUAUCACCUCAAAUCUCAU